AAAAGAAAACCUCACUCCUCAAAGAAGAAAAAAAAAAACGGACGGUGCUGAUAAACCUCAUUCUCUCAUCUGAGUCGUCUCCUCUCUCCUUUCUUCUCCAGCGUCCGAUCCUCCAUUUCCCAACUCCAUCCAAAGCCUCUCCCUCUCUCGCGCCCAUUUUUCUUUAAUAAGGGUUGCGAUGGCGGAAGUUCCGACGAGUCCGAACGGAGGAGGCAGCUACGACGAGAGCGGCGAUCAGAGCCCGCGCUCCAACGUUCGCGAGCAGGACCGGUUUCUUCCGAUCGCGAACAUUAGCCGGAUCAUGAAGAAGGCGCUCCCCGCCAAUGGAAAGAUCGCCAAGGACGCUAAGGAAACCGUCCAAGAAUGCGUCUCUGAGUUCAUCAGCUUCAUCACCAGCGAGGCUAGUGAUAAGUGCCAGAGAGAGAAGAGGAAGACUAUUAACGGAGAUGAUUUGCUUUGGGCUAUGGCUACUCUAGGGUUUGAAGACUACAUCGAUCCACUCAAGAUUUACCUCGCCAGAUAUAGAGAGGUCAAAUUUCGUUGAAAAUUUGGGCUUUUUAACAAUGAAAAUGAAAUUAUUGUCCUUAGUUACCUUUUAAUCUUUUCUGAUAAUGAGUUUUGACUGACUGAGUUUACUUUGUUUCCUUGUUUUCUGAUUUUUUCUUGGUGCUGAUUUAGAUGGAGGUAUGUUGAAUUUAUCUUCUUUUUUGGUUUAUUUAUUUAUUAUUGAAGUGGCUGGUUAUUAAAAUUUCUAUUUUUUUAUGUGUUUGGGUUUAUUGUUUUCAUUGUUAUAAGAGUGUUUGGAUUUUGAAUAUUGGGGUUUUGCAAAUUAUGGGAUUUGAUAGGGUGACACCAAGGGGUCAGCAAAGGGUGGAGAAUCAUCUGCUAAGAAAGAUGUUCAGCCAAGUCCAAAUGCUCAGAUUGCUCAUCAAGGUUCUUUCUCGCAAGGUGUUAAUUACGCAACUUCUCAAUCUCAGGCACAACAUCUGAUGAUUCCUAUGCAAGGCUCAGAUUAGAUUUCUGCUCGAUCAUUACUAAUUCCACCAUUUGGCGUCCUGCUUGAGGAGAUCUUUUUCAGUGCCCACAACAAAUAUUUAUUCAUAUGUGAACACUGACAUUUUAGGGUCUUUUGGGCACUAUUGUCCAAUCCAUAUGUAUUCUAGGUAUGGUUUGUAUGUUUAGGGGUGUCUUCCGAUUAAAAUAUUUAUUUUAAGAAGACACUGUAAAUCUUGGGUCCUGUGAUUUGUUAACUGGGUGUUUUGGCAAUAUGUUAUGGAGCUGAUUAUGAAA